CCUACGGGAGGCAGCAGUAAGGAAUAUUGGUCAAUGGAGGCAACUCUGAACCAGCCAUGCCGCGUGCAGGAAGACGGCCCUAUGGGUUGUAAACUGCUUUUGAACUAGAGAAAACCUUGGUACGUGUACCGAGUUGAUAGUAUAGUUAGAAUAAGCAUCGGCUAACUUCGUGCCAGCAGCCGCGGUAAGACGAAGGAUGCAAGCGUUAUCCGGAUUCAUUGGGUUUAAAGGGUGCGUAGGCGGACUGAUAAGUCAGUGGUGAAAUCUCUCAGCUUAACUGAGAAACUGCCAUUGAUACUGUUAGUCUAGAGUACAGAUGAUGUGGGCGGAAUAUGACAUGUAGUGGUGAAAUACUUAGAUAUGUCAUAGAACACCGAUUGCGAAGGCAGCUCACAAAACUGUAAACUGACGCUGAGGCACGAAAGUGCGGGGAUCAAACAGGAUUAGAUACCCUGGUAGUCCGCACCGUAAACGAUGAUUACUCGUUGUUGGCGAUAUGACAGUCAGCGACCAAGCGAAAAGCGAUAAGAAUCCACCUGGGGAGUACGCCGGCAACGGUGAAACGUCAAAGGAAUUGACGG
rnacentral:rRNA from 1 species